UUGGUGAAGGCUAGGCCAGCUUGGCGUUGGUUGUCCAAGUUUAAGGUGGUAGGCUGAAAUCUUAGGUAAAUCCGGGGUUUCAAGGCCGAGAGCUGAUGACGAGUCGUCUUUUAGAUGACGAAGUGGUUGAUGCCAUGCUUCCAAGAAAAGCUUCUAAGCUUCAGGUAACCAGGAGCCGUACCCCAAACCGACACAGGUGGUCGGGUAGAGAAUACCAAGGCGCUUGAGAGAACUCGGGUGAAGGAACUAGGCAAAAUGGCACCGUAACUUCGGGAGAAGGUGCGCCGGCUAGGGUGAAGGAUUUACUCCGUAAGCUCUGGCUGGUCGAAGAUACCAGGCCGCUGCGACUGUUUAUUAAAAACACAGCACUCUGCAAACACGAAAGUGGACGUAUAGGGUGUGACGCCUGCCCGGUGCCGGAAGGUUAAUUGAUGGGGUUAGCGCAAGCGAAGCUCUUGAUCGAAGCCCCGGUAAACGGCGGCCGUAACGAUAACGGUCCUAAGGUAGCGAAAUUCCUUGUCGGGUUCCGACCUGCACGAAUGGCGUAACGAUGGCGGCGCUGUCUCCACCCGAGACUCAGUGAAAUCGAAAUCGCUGUGAAGAUGCAGUGUAUCCGCGGCUAGACGGAAAGACCCCGUGAACCUUUACUGUAGCUUUGCACUGGACUUUGAGCCUGCUUGUGUAGGAUAGGUGGGAGGCUUUGAAGCGUGGACGCCAGUUCGCGUGGAGCCAUCCUUGAAAUACCACCCUGGCAUGCUUGAGGUCCUAACUCUGGUCCGUAAUCCGGAUCGAGGACAGUGUAUGGUGGGCAGUUUGACUGGGGCGGUCUCCUCCUAAAGAGUAACGGAGGAGUACGAAGGUGCGCUCAGACCGGUCGGAAAUCGGUCGCAGAGUAUAGAGGCAAAAGCGCGCUUGACUGCGAGACAGACACGUCGAGCAGGUACGAAAGUAGGUCUUAGUGAUCCGGUGGUUCUGUAUGGAAGGGCCAUCGCUCAACGGAUAAAAGGUACUCCGGGGAUAACAGGCUGAUACCGCCCAAGAGUUCAUAUCGACGGCGGUGUUUGGCAGCUCGAUGUCGGCUCAUCUCAUCCUGGGGCUGAAGCCGGUCCCAAGGGUAUGGCUGUUCGCCAUUUAAAGUGGUACGCGAGCUGGGUUUAGAACGUCGUGAGACAGUUCGGUCCCUAUCUGCCGUGGACGUUUGGGAUUUGAGAGGGGCUGCUCCUAGUACGAGAGGACCGGAGUGGACGAACCUCUGGUGUUCCGGUUGUCACGCCAGUGGCAUUGCCGGGUAGCUAUGUUCGGAAAAGAUAACCGCUGAAAGCAUCUAAGCGGGAAACUUGCCUCAAGAUGAGAUCUCACUGGGAACUUGAUUCCCCUGAAGGGCCGUCGAAGACUACGACGUUGAUAGGCUGGGUGUGUAAGCGUUGUGAGGCGUUGAGCUAACCAGUACUAAUUGCC
rnacentral:rRNA from 1 species